GGUGGGUUUCCCCCUUCUACUGCUUCAGAAGUUUUUGCCUUUUGGUUUUGUUUUUGUUACCAUCUGUUGCUCUAGUAUCAUAAUUAUACAAAUUUUCGGAUAAUUGUCUCAAGUAGGAAGACCGUAAUCUGUUUAUUUAUUGGUCUUGUCGAUUUGUAUGCGGUUUUAAUCGGAUCCUUUUCCUGGUCCGUGGGCAUAACAGCUAAUGAGUAAUUUUUGGGAGCUUGUUCUGUUACCAUCUUGUGUAUGAUUGUCAUCACUCAGUGCACUAUGUGAUUGUGAUUCCGCGUCCAAUGCAGCAGGUUUCUUUGAACAAUAUGAUAUUAACGACUGA
rnacentral:lncRNA from 1 species